rnacentral:miRNA from 1 species
CAGGCUGUACUGUGCUGUUGCAGU